rnacentral:rRNA from 1 species
UACGUAGGGGCAAGCGUUGUCCGGAUUAUUGGGCGUAAAGAGCGCGUAGGCGGUCCGGUAAGUCCGCUCUGAAAGUCCGGGGCUCAACCCCGGGAGGCGGGCGGAUACUGUCGGGCUAGAGUCCGGAAGAGGCGAGUGGAAUUCCUGGUGUAGCGGUGAAAUGCGCAGAUAUCAGGAGGAACACCAAUGGCGAAGGCAGCUCGCUGGACGGUACUGACGCUGAGGCGCGAAAGCGUGGGAGCAAACAGG